UGAUGUAAGUGUCAAAAGUAUAAAAAGUCGUUUCUGCUUGCAGAAAAAGACUUUUUUACUUGGGACACGCUAAACACCGAAAACGGAAUAAAAUGUCGUGAAUACGGCAUUUUAUGAAAGUUUGAGGUGUAAGUGUCAAAAAAGCUGCUCUGCUAUCUUUUCA
rnacentral:sRNA from 1 species